AAUCUUAUUCAGACACAGACUUUGGCCAGGUCCCUGUAGAAGUCAUAGGAGAGUUGGGGUUUCAAGACAAAACAAUAAGAACAACAACAAAAAUAAUAAAACCAACAAUCUUCAGUCCUUUUUGCUUAGUGGGGGUGGAAAGGCCACUGUAGAGAACUUCUUUAAUCCAAGGACACCCACACCAAUAAAAGCAGACGGCAAGGGAACCAGGACAAGCAUGGCUGUGAAGGGACUAGAAACAGAUCUGGCAGGUGGAUAUGCAAUCAUUCCUAUGUGAUGAAGCUCCAGUAAAAUCUCUGGACACCAGCACAGGAUGGGAUGUCCUUUUGCAGAGGAAGCCCAGGUUGGACUUGAACUUCUGGGCUCAAGUUGCCCAUGCUGGACUUGAACUCCUGGGCUCAAGUGGUCCUCUGGCCUCAGCCUCCCAUGUAGCUGAGUCUACUGAUGUAUACCAUCACACCUGGCUUUUUCUUUUCAUUGGAAAAUUUAGUCCAUUUACAUUUAAAGUAAUUGUAAUAGUACCCCUUCUAUUACGAGGGAGGAAAAUAAAACUCAGAUUUCAGGAAUCAAUCAAGGUCAUGUAGCAACCUGGUGGUCAGCCAGAGCUAGAAAUUAUCAAAUAUGAUGAUCCAGCCGGUGUGGUGUAUUCUGAUAUGAGGAGAAUUUCUCUUUUGGUCUUGGACAUAUUCCUUAGACUGACAUGUCACUGGGCCAAUAUUUGAGUGAAUCUCCUGUUUCUGGAAUUAUCAAGAAGACUACAGAAAAUUAUAGGAGUGACUCCGAAAUGCUAUGGAAGAGAUUCCUGCAUUGUCAUGCAUAAAGGCAGUGGUCUCCUAAACUGUCCUGUCUAGAUAUGAGACCUGAAACUGGGGCAGCCAUUGCGAGACCCUGAUGACAGCCAGCCCAAUGGCAAUGCAGACACACACAGCAUGGUGGCAUGAGAUCAUGUCCUAAGAAAUGAGAGAAUUUGAUGUCAUCGUGUGCUGCAGUCAGCCAGCCUUGGAACUCACCAUACCUCUGGACUGCUUGAUAGGGUUCCAGUUCACCUUCCAAUCACCAUUAGACGAAGUUACUCAUUUUUCCAAAAGCAGAGAACAAGAUUGCAGAAGACAACUUGACGUUCCAUUUUAGGAACCAAUAACCCUCAUAUUUGGAAAUUUCAUUACUACACUUUCAGAGGUAUGUUUUACAUUCAGAGUCGGAAACCCCAACAUGCUAUGCAGUUUGAACUUAGCAGGUUCUUCUCAAGCUUGUCUUGCAUGUUCUAAGCUUAGAAAAAUAUUUUACUUUUACUGUUUCCCAAAUUAUAUUGACUGGGAAAAGUUAC
rnacentral:lncRNA from 10 species